CAACUUUUAUUGAUGAAAUAUAGUUCAGUUGAAAUUUACUGUGAUAACUCAACUGCAAUUAAAAUGUCUUUCGCUCCUAACUGAAAACAAAU
rnacentral:snoRNA from 1 species